UAGGUUUGACAUGUAGCUGAAAGCCUCAAGAAACUGGGGCCCUUCUUCGGAACAGCUACACAGGUGCUGCAUGGCUGUCGUCAGCUCGUGUCGUGAGAUGUUGGGUUAAGUCCCGCAACGAGCGCAACCCUUGCCCCGUGUUACUAACAGGUCAUGCUGAGGACUCUCGGGGGACUGCCGGCGUCAAGCCGGAGGAAGGUGGGGAUGACGUUUACGUGCACUU
rnacentral:misc_RNA from 1 species